rnacentral:rRNA from 1 species
GCGCAGGCGGACACGUCAGUGCCUUGUGAAAUCCCACGGCUCAACCGUGGAACCGCAGGGCAUACUGCGUGUCUUGAGGUCGGUAGAGGUCGCCGGAACGAUAGGUGUAGCGGUGAAAUGCGUAGAUAUCUAUCGGAACGCCAAAGGCGAAGGCAGGCGACUGGGCCGAUCCUGACGCUGAGGCCCGAAAGCGUGGGUAGCGAACAGGAUUAGAUACCCUGGUAGUCCACGCCGUAAACUUUGCGCACUAGAUCCGGGAGGCUCUGACGCCAUCCGGGUCGAAGCAAAAGCGAUAAGUGCGCCGCCUGGGGAGUACGGUCGCAAGGCUAAAACUCAAAGGAAUUGACGGGGGCUCACACAAGCGGUGGAGCAUGUGGCUUAAUUCGAAGCAACGCGAAGAACCUUAUCCUGGGUUUGACAUGCACGGAUUAACGCUUGGAAACAGGCGCCACGCCUUUUAGGUGGAACGUGCACAGGUGCUGCAUGGCUGUCGUCAGCUCGUGCUGUGAAGUGUUGGGUUAAGUCCCUUAACGAGCGAAACCCUUGCCGUUAGUUACCAGCAUGCCUUCGGGUGAUGGGGACUCUAACGGGACUGCCGGUGUCAAACCGGAGGAUAGGUGGGGACGACGUCAAGUCAUCAUGGCCUUUAUGCCCAGGGCUGCACACGUGCUACAAUGGCAGGGACAAAGCGACGCAAUCUCGCAAGAGGGAGCAAAUCGCAAAAACCCUGCCCCAGUUCGGAUCGUGGUCUGCAACCCGAC